rnacentral:rRNA from 1 species
AGGACGAACGCUGGCGGCGUGCUUAACACAUGCAAGUCGAGCGGAAAGGCCUUUCGGGGUACUCGAGCGGCGAACGGGUGAGUAACACGUGAGUAAUCUGCCCAUCGCUUCAGGAUAGCCAUCGGAAACGGUGAUUAAUACUGGAUAUGACAUUCCUUCGCAUGUUGGGGUGUGGAAAGUUUUUUCGGCGGUGGAUGUGCUCGCGGCCUAUCAGCUUGUUGGUGGGGUAAUGGCCUACCAAGGCUUUGACGGGUAGCCGGCCUGAGAGGGUGACCGGCACACUGGGACU